rnacentral:snRNA from 1 species
AGCUUUGCGCAGUGGCAGUAUCGUAGCCAAUGAGGUUUAUCCGAGGCGCGAUUAUUGCUAAUUGAAAACAAUUUUCUUUCUUCAGUUACAGCUGUACAAUAGAGCUUUACCUUCUCUACCUGAGA